AUGUUCGAUCCCGGCUCAGAUUGAACUGGCGGGAUGCUUUACACAUGCAAGUCGAACCGGCAGCACGGACUUCGGUCUGGUGGCGAGUGGCGAAACAAGAGUAAUGUAUCGGAACAUGCCUUUCAGUAGCGGGGAUAACUACGCGAAAGGUAGCUAAUACCGCAUACGCCCUUCGGGAAAGUGGGGACCUUUCGGGCCCCACUAUUAGAGCGGCCGAUAUCGUCGGAUUAGCUAGUUGUAAACGCUCACCAGCGACAUCCGCAGCUGGCUUCAGAGGACGACCAGCCACACUGACCGAGACACGGCCCAGUUCCUACGGGAGGCAGCAGUGGGAAUUUUAUUAAUGGGGAAACCCCGAUCCAGCCAUCCCGCGUGUGCGAUGAAGGCCUUCGGGUUGUAAAGCACCCUUUUUGGCAGAAGAAUCGGCACGGAUAACACCUGUGCACUGACGGCAGGUACCAGAAUAAGCACCGGCUAACUACGCCAGCGCAGCCGCGUAAUACGUAGGGUGCAAGCGUUAAUCGGAAUUACUGGGCGUAAAGCGUGCGCAGGCGGUUCGGCAAAGAUGUGAAAUCCCAGAGCUUAACUUUGAAACUCAUUUUUAACUACCGAGCUUGCGAGUGUGUCAGAGGGAGGUGGAAUUCCGCGUGUAGCAGUAGAAUGCGUAGAUAUGCGGAGGAACACCGAUGGCGAAGGCAGCCUCCGAUAACACUGACGCUCAUGCACGAAAGCGGGGAGCAAACAGAUUAGAUACUCCUGGUAGUCCACGCUCCAAACGAUGUCAACUAGCUGUUGGGGCCUUCGGGCCUUGGUAGCGCAGCCGACGGGGUGAAGUUGACCGCCUGUGAGCAUGAAAUGCAAAGAUUAAAACUCAAAGGAAUUGACGGGGAUCGCAAGCGGUGGAUGAUGUGGAUUAAUCUGAUGCAACGCGAAAAAACUCAUCACAAUUUUGACAUGUCUGGAAUCCGAAGAGAUUUGGGAGUGCUCGCAAGAGAACUGGAACACAGGUACUGCAUGGCUGUCGUCAGCUCGUGUCGUGAGAUGUUGGGUUAAGUCCCGCAACGAGCGCAACCCUGUCAUUAGUUGCUACGAAAGGGCACUCUAAUGAGAUUGCCGGUGACAAACCGAGGAAGGUGGGGAUGACGUCAAGUCCCCAUGGCCCUUAUGGGUAGGGCUUCUACACGUCAUACAAUGGUCGGGACAGAGGGUCGCCAACCCGCGAGGGGGAGCUAAUCCCAGAAACCCGAUCGUAGUCCGGAUCGCAGUCUGCAACUCGACUGCGUGAAGUCGGAACGCCAGUGCAAUCGCGGAUCAGCAUGUCGCGGUGAAUACGUUCCCCGGGUCUUGUACACACCAGUCACACCCCACAUGGAGGCUAUACUCAGAAGUAGUUAGCCUAACCGUAAGAGAAGAGAUUACCAGUAGGAUUCAUGAUCAAAGUGAAGUCGCAACAAGGUAG
rnacentral:rRNA from 1 species